AUUUAUUUGUUUUAGAAUGAGAGGGGGAAAUGGAAGGAGAAAAAAAAACAAUGAUAAAAAGCCUAGAGAUGACCACAUAUGAAACGACCAUGUGUGCAAAGGACUGCUGGAAAAUCAAUCAGGGAUGGCCUGGAUCCUGCCAUGUAAAUCAAAGAAGAGAGGGCCUAACUUAGCUGCCUAGCCUGGAUCACCUGGAACCCAUUAGGAUACAGGAUCAUAAACACCUCUAUUUUCCCUUCAGAGAGAGACCAGAACCACUGGAGUUAAGCUACCUGCAUAAGAGUUGAGUGCGAUCAGCUGUACUUAAUCUUUAAAUGUCCAACCCACCGAUAACCUUUGGUUUGCUUUGAUAACUAUGAAAUAAAUUCUCACUGCAUUG
rnacentral:antisense_RNA from 1 species